rnacentral:sRNA from 64 species
CGUGAAGGAUAACGUUGCGUCAGCAACGGCCCGAAGGGCGAGGCGAAGCCGAGUCAUCCUGCACGACCCACCA